AUGCCGCUGGUAGAUGGGUGAUAGAAACGAUAUAGACGGGGCGAGCGAGUAAAAUGGUGGGAAGGGGGCCCCGGAAGGGAGCUAGGAAGUGGCGUUCAGAACAAUUUCGCGGUCGGAUAAUCGCGCUUUGGCUGUCCCCUGUUGCAAAAGAGGAGUGAGGGAGAGAGCGAGAGAGAGAGAGAGAGAGAGAGAGAGAGAGAGAGAGAGAGAGAGGGGGGGGAGCAGAGUUGGAAGACAAGCGUGGCGGCUUUUCAUCCCCCUCGUGUACUCGAUCCGCCGCAGGCGAAUGUCUUAUGAGCCAUUUAAGAAGGAAUUUACUUAUUUGGCCCGAUGUCGAUCACAAAAACGCUCGUGAUUUGCUUUAACUUUAUACAAUAGUUUAUCUGCAAAGAAAUCUUUGAAAGGCAUUCCGAAACCUAAAAGCACUUAAAAUAAUAUUCGGCGAAACAGAGAAUGUAACGACACUUAGUCGCGUCGUGUGAGAGAAAUAUGCGCAAGCGAUCUAUACAGUAUCUAUAGUAUACAAUAUCUAAUUCGGUCGCAACGAGAAUAGAAACAGAUAUACGCGACUGAGUCGCCUCUGAAAUAUGCAGCAGCAAAGCGUUUUCGAAGGAAACUUUCUUCCUCUCUUCUCUAUCGCUCCUUCCUCGCUAAGCUUCUCCCAAUCCUACUCGACGUGUCACUUCCUUCCAUUCAUCGUCAAUCCCUUUUGCGGGCAACGAGUCACGUUCGGAGCUACCGCAGACACGCGCACACGCGAAUCCAUGUGUACGCGCACACGUACGCGCAACGUCUCUCGAAGGCGGGAUCGGCUUACGUGUUGCAACUUAGAAGCAGUUUAUUGCUAUAAACCAUGCCGUACGGAGGAUCACCGUAUGUGUACAGCGAAAAGACGUUGGAAAAGAUACACUUCCCCCGCUCGCACUCGAAAUUGCACGUAUAGGAUUCGAGGACAUCCGAUCACGUUACUUUUGGGGAAAUAAUCGAAUAAGUAUGGAGUUGCAGAGUAGUUGAGCGAUCGCCGACGAAAUAUUAAUUCGCGGUCCUACGUCGUGGACGGAAAAGCUAUGACUCGAUGGACGUCGGGGAGGAUGAGGACGAGAUGGAAGCGUCGCGAAAUAGAUCUCGAUGAACGAACUCGUGCGCCUCGCGUGAGAGGAUCGUCGAUCACAUUCGACGAUCGCGAGAGUGCCUAGGAAUCGCAAAUCGCAUAGGACGACCACGUAUUUGUGACUACCCGUAAACAUUACACAUUAUAUAAUUAUACAUAACAGAUUAAACGUAAUUUUAUAUAAUUUUAUUUUUAUAUAAUUUCGUAUAGUUACAUAUAAUUAUAUAUUAUAAAUUUUUUUCCAAAUAAGUCUUAUAUGCACUUAUUAAUUAAAUUAAACCACUCUAUCUUGUAUUAGAGAUAUAACUUAAUAAAAAAUAGAAAGUAAAUCGAUCGAUUUAAUAAAUUUAGAUAUUGUGACAAAAAUCACAGAAAAUCUAAGAAAAUGCAUUGAUUUUAAUAAAUAUAAACUAAUUAUAAACUAAUCAUUCUGAUUGAUCUUCUAAUAUUAAAAUGGCCAUGUCAUACUGUAAAAAGUUCUCAACAAUGCUUCUUCAAUUUAAUAAACCUCAAAUGUAUAGUAAAGCGGCACUGAAUAAAAUAAUAGUUUGAGCGUCUUCUGAAUUAGAAAAUCUUUACAAUAUUCCUAGAGCAAUUGCUUGAAUUAUCCAACGUAACUUUCGUUAGUUCUCGCAGACUUUAAAGGGGAAACGAAAGUGGAGAGUAGUGCUUUCUGGACGAUGAUUACAUUGCUAUUAUUCGAUAUGUGUGUUCACAUUCACGCGUCGUUGCAUUCGCCACGAUGUUUGCCGGGGACUUUUAAACGGCAAUGCCGACCGUUCGAUUGGAAUCGUUUAUUUAGAAGAGACUCCGGACCGAGUGUUUGCGAGAACGACGCGCUCUUUGUUGGAAAGCUGUAUAAAGCGUACUCCUUUUUUUUCAAAGAAGCUAUUUGAUUAGUGAUUU